GCAAAAGCGUUCGUCUUUAUCUAUCUUUGCCCCCUUCUUGAUCGCAUUACAGACUUACGGCUACAGUUGAAAACGGGCUACUAUGCAUGUCUAUUUAGUCUUUACCCGACCGGAAAUUGAUGAUGGCUAUUGGUGAUUAGCUGUAGGAUCUAACUGGUGUGAGAAAUGUGGGUCUGGUGAUGCUUGCCCCUCGCUUUAGUUUGUCUACGCCUUGAAGAAAUUUUUGAGUAGGAAGAAGUCCUGAGAGGAAGAGUGAACUUUGCUGAGAGCUGGAUGAAGCGAAGCUACUCUGCAGUUGGGUUUUGACCAUUCAAAAAAAAUAAAAAAAUUGGUGCCCGUUUGUUUUCUGCGGUAAAAUUCGCCUAAACCCCGAUGUUACUGAAGUGGGAGAGUUGCUAAUUAUCUCUGAUUGUGAAUGAUCAACUGGUUUCCGUGCGAAACACAUGGCAUAAGUGUGCUGAGAAUGAGUUCCGGAAGCAAAAGUCGUGAGUGUUAAGUGAAUCAGUAAGCUGAAUCAAGUAAAGUUUAGUUCUUUGGAAAUUCUUUGAGACUUCUUGGUCAGUGUUAUGGUCGAACGGAGUUAACCAAGUUAAUAUUCGUUUUCCCUUUGAAGAGCUAAUUUUGAUUAUCAAGUCUUUACUCAUGUGAUAUACGAAGACCUAAUAAAUAUAACUCUUUCAUAUAUGAGCCUUAAUCACACAUAAAUCACUCAUGUCUAAGAUGAAUCUAGUAUUAACCAUAACCCCUUUAUUUGGUUUGGCGAAAACUACGUCUCUUGCUAUCAAGAUUUUAUUGGGUCGACUUUUUGUGCAAAUGUUGUAGGUUUAAUUAAUGCUAUUAAUGAUUCACUCUGCGAUAAAAUUUCUAUCACACACUUGAAUACCUCAUGGAUAGGCCCAUGAGAAAUAUUGGACUUUAAUGCGGAGCUCCGCUAGAACCAGGGUGAACUAUUGAAGUUAUUGAGGGCGAAAGAACUUAAGUCUCAAGAGCAUGGUUCUACAUGCUUUGGCUAUCGUAUCUUAAAACUUUAGAGCCACCGUGUUUUCUAAGUACCAUGAUCACAUCAUUGUCGAAAAGCAAGUCUUCUAGCAAAUCGUAUGACAAAUGUUAAAAUUCAUGUUACCAUCUGUCCGUUGCUUUGAUGUGUUUGCUUAUCAGCACUUUCGCCAUGUUCUGUGCCAAUUACCUAUUGCGCGGGAGAUUCCCUUGAGAACCCGCUUCUCAUCCAUUCAUAAAUAUUGUGUAAUAUUUAGUAAAUAGAUCGAACAUAAAAAGAAAAUUAGAUCCUAUAAGUUCUAUCUCAUUCCAAGGCACUAAAUACUUGUAAAUGUGGUCUUCUUUCCUAUUGCUCAACACUACAUCACUUCCUUAAUAGGUGUUUGCAUGAUGAUACAGCUAAAUAUUCUAAUAGCUGAUUGCAAAAGGGGAAUGGUAUCUCUUUGUAGGUUUUCUAUAAUCUUCAUUUUAUAUACCGGAUCCUUUUAUAGUUUACAGUAGGAGUAUUUGUUGCUCUUUAUUGUUGAUCAUUUUUACUCUACAUAAUGCCGUAGGCAUUUGCAUGAUAAUGCAAAUGGCUCGACUUGUUCAUGAUUGUAUAAGGGCAAUGUUGAGGCCAAUUCAUGUACUGUCAUGGCACAAAAGAUUGGCUAGCUAAUAAUCUUUUCUUGAUGUUCAUAUACGGUUCAUUACUGAUAAUGCUAAGGGAGGCACACUAAUUUUCCAGGUAAGUUGACUUCAAUCAAGGAAAAGGGUUUCUGCUCCUGAGUGGUCUAUGCUUUAUAUUGAUUUAGUGCUUUUUUUGUCUUUGAAAACCUUUACCUUGAAUGAUACUAGUUUACCAUUCAGUGAUUUUCUUGCUUUUACACGCAUUUUUAUUAUAAGUUACAGUUUAGGCUCCUCAAAUUGCUCGAGCCAUCCUCGUUGCUUCACAGCUCUUCAUAAUACGAUUGACAUUUGUGAAGAAUUUGAUUUCCAAUUAACAUUUGUGACAGACAAAGAGCGAGAUUGUUCUGACCUGCUGCUUCCUGCAUAUUCAAGUAGUCUUUGACGAGCAUUUUAUUUGCUGAAGUUGAUUGUGAGCCUAACAAAUUGUCUAAUUUUUUAGGGCAUAUAUUUGCACAAAUGUGGCAUGAGACUUGAUACUUGUUCUAAUUUGUUUUGCAUUUUGCAUUUUGUUUUGAAAUCAUGUUUGACUGUUUGCAAUAGAACAACUGCUUCAAAUUCCUAUCUCAGCAUUUGCUUUGAGAUUGGUAUGCCCCAGUUAUGACUGUUAUCAUGCGGGUUUAAAGUCAUUUAGUAUGAAAAAGACUCUGGAAAAGGAGGGAGAUGGCACAACAAGGGAUAAUGUGGUUUGGACAUGUGAAAUGGACGAUGUGUUGAUAGAUGGAUUGUUAGAGGAACAAAGAAAAGGCAACUGUCAUGAUAUCGUGUUUAGCAGUGAGGCUUACCAUAAUACCACGAAAACCUUGAGGAACUCCUUUGGUCCAUUUAUUCAGAUAUCUAAUAUAUAGAAUAGAACUAAGACGAUGAAGAAGAAUUUUGCCGAAUGUAGUACUACAUUUCAUGGUUGGAGUGACUUUACUUGGAAUGCCAUCACGAAGAUGUUUGAUGCUCCAGAUGAAGGAGAAGUUACUUCUUGUUCUAGGUCAUUUCAAUCGUUAUUUCUUCUUUGGCGUUUCUCUUUUGACUUCUCAUGUGUAUUAAUGCGCCUAGCAAGAAUACAACAACUGCAUAUAUUACAGGAGAGACCUGAAGCAAGAAGGUGGAGGCCAUUGCUUACAACAAACUUUAUGAACUUUAUUCACAAGAUAGAGCAAUUGGAUAAUGGCAUGGCCCUGGUAAAAGACUUAAUUGGCGGAUCGCAAUGCACUUCGCCAGAGGCAAUCAGAAUGGCUUCACUCCCGAGUUUUUGACUGCUAAUAAUUCUCAUGAGAGAGCAUCUUCUGGUGGCUCGAAGCGAAAGGCCACGGUGCCGGAUGUGUUCAAGAGUCAGUGCACAAGGCUGAGCACGGGAAUGGAAAGAGUCACAGACGCCCUAGAACAGGUGAAUGUGAUAGCUGAAAAGUUUCUUACGAUUUUUUAAAGUGGCCAGCCGCGACACUAUUGAGAAGAUGAGAUAUAUAGUGAGCUUGAACCAAUGGGACUGCACCCAAAUUUUCUGCUGGAUGCUUAUAGUUUUCUCGCUGGCAAUCCAAAGGCGACAAGGACAAUUUUUGGCGCUCCAUGGGCUAGGCGCAUGGAAUUGCUGACGAAGAUCAUGAACGAUCAUGGUAUUGUAGAUACAUGACAAACAGAAUUGAAGAUAUGUAGGUUUGCUGAGCAAUGUUGGAUCAUAGUUAUAGCCAUUACUUGUCAAUAACAUCUGUACUUUCUUAUUGGCCCAGGUGGGGGGGCACUUUUGAAAUGAACUCCCUGGGUACAUAUGGGUAAUUAUGUUUGUGGCAUUAUGGUUCUGGUGGUGUUGCUAAGAUGGUUGGUUAGACGGUUUUGUUUUUUGGAUAAGGUUUGCAAGGUUAAUCAAACUUUUGCCAAGAGUGAGGUGAAUGUUUUUGUUUACUGAGAUUUGAUUUGUACUUGGAGCA